rnacentral:rRNA from 1 species
AGCAGCCGCGGUAAUUCCAGCUCCAAUAGCGUAUAUUAAAGUUGUUGCAGUUAAAAAGCUCGUAGUUGAAUUUCGGGAUCAGUACGCUGGUCAUGCCUUUGGUAUGCACUGGUGUCACUGGUUUCUCCCUUCUGAAGAUCCGUGAUGUCAUUAAUUUGGUGUCGCGGGGAAUCAGGACUGUUACUUUGAAAAAAUUAGAGUGUUUAAAGCAGGCUCACGCUUGAAUACAUUAGCAUGGAAUAAUGAAAUAGGACGUUUGACCCUAUUUUGUUGGUUUCUAGGAUCGACGUAAUGAUUAAUAGGGAUAGUUGGGGGCAUUAGUAUUCAAUUGUCAGAGGUGAAAUUCUUGGAUUUAUUGAAGACUAACUACUGCGAAAGCAUUUGCCAAGGAUGUUUUCAUUAAUCAAGAACGAAAGUUAGGGGAUCGAAGACGAUCAGAUACCGUCGUAGUCUUAACCAUAAACUAUGCCGACUAGGGAUCGGAUGAUGUUAAUUUUAUAAUGA